UCUUAGAUCCUCUCGCAAAAGGUCUUUGGCAGUGAUCAGACCAUGGGUUCUUUCAGACUUCGUCUCUCUCUUGGUGCUUGUCAAUGCCGGCUUAGUUUUGGUUCCUCGACCAGUGCUCUGUAAUGAGAAUAUAUGAAGACAAUCUUCUUCAUGAGGGCAUCAACAGUUUCAGGCCGCAAGCAGUAAGUCAGUCUUAAAAAUGGCAAAGCAGACUGCCUUGCCAACGAAAUUGCAGAUGAAUUAGAGGAUGAGCCUUGCACCAGCUCCACCAACGGCAUGAGCAUCGUGCCAAGCUCCAAUACUCAGCUCUACGACGACCUCCCCAAAUACAUGGACGAGUGCAAGAUCAACGCUAGCCAGCUCGACUGUAGACGGCAUAAUAUUAAUGCGGCCAGAUUGUGCCGGAUUUGGUUCCAAUAUUAUAUACAUGAUCGAUGCAUGAUA